GUUGUAUAAAGAGAUUUUAGUUUGAUUGUAGGUUGUAUAAGGAGAUUUUAGUUUGAUUGUAGGUUGUAUAAAGAGAUUUUAGUUUGAUUGUAGGUUGUAUAAGGAGAUUUUAGUUUGAUUGUAGGUUGUAUAAGGAGAUUUUAGUUUGAUUGUAGGUUGUAUAAGGAGAUUUUAGUUUGAUUGUAGGUUGUAUAAGGAGAUUUUAGUUUGAUUGUAGGUUGUAUAAGGAGAUUUUAGUUUGAUUGUAGGUUGUAUAAGGAGAUUUUAGUUUGAUUGUAGGUUGUAUAAAGAGAUUUUAGUUUGAUUGUAGGUUGUAUAAGGAGAUUUUAGUUU